GUUGGCAGUUGGGCAGCGGCCAUCUUAGAAGGACACAGAACAGCAACUUGGAACAGAGCCAGCUGGUGGUGUGUGACAGGAGUGCUGCAUAGCUUAUGGCGAGCCAGCUUCUAUUUCCGGUGACUGGAGAUCAUCAUUUUAGCAGCCAAUUGGUAAUAGAAGCCUCCUGUGGGUAUACCACUGCUUCCAGUGGUGCUUGCUUGCUGACAGGCAUCUGACAGAGCAGAGACAGUGAUAUAUUUCAAUGAGCCCGAGGACCAUUAAAGCCACCAACCAAACCAAACCCUUCACCAGCAGGGGAGGACAAAACUGCAGAUAAGAGUUUCAACCAGAAACUGUAAAGGGGGUAAAGGAAGAAUCAGUCUACUGAAGUAGUGUCUUGACUAACCAUUCACUGUCACUACGAGAUCAACACAAAUCUUAUCCACGACGGAGAGGUAGGAUGCUUAUCAGCCCAGACAAAAGAGGAGAUGGACAACGGCCAAGACUUUCCUGCAUAUCACUACUCUCUUCAGGCAGAUAACUACUAUCAACAUCUGAUGGACCCAGAUUCAGUAGAUUCCAUGGAUCAAAUUCCACUUCACAAAUAAGCGACUUUCAUGUCAUUGAAGUUCAUGACCAGACAUACUCCUAACCAACUGAUUGGAGUCUGCCCAAUGUAUACAACAGCUCUGCUUCCAUGAAUUAGAAUACAGAACAUCAUAGAAAAAAAAAUGCUGAUUCCAUACAGUAUGUGUCCCUUACCUAUUGUGGUGCUCUUUUAUGGUCAUGUGGAAAUGGUACUACAGUAUGUUGAUAAGUUUCAUAUACAACAUACCCUGAUGACUGAUCAGCAUUAAAAAUAAAAACUUGAUACAACAUAUAAAUUAUUCAGUACUUUAUGGAAUUGCCUGAUUACAGUUACGUUCAUACCAUCAAUGUUAGCAUGGUAACUAGAAGAUUCACUGUGUUAACAAUUUGUAUCUAAUCUAUCUUUAGCUAAGUUUCACCUUGUCUGAUGUUCUGUGUUCUUUAUGGUAAGUAAAUAAGAUUAUCUCAUUA